rnacentral:rRNA from 1 species
GAUGAACGCUGGCGGCGUGCCUAAUACAUGCAAGUCGAGCGGUAAGGCCCCUUCGGGGGUACACGAGCGGCGGACGGCUGAGUAACACGUAGGAACGUACCCCAAAGUGAGGGAUAAGCACCAGAAAUGGUGUCUAAUACCGCAUGUGAUCUUCGGAUUAAAGCUUCGGCGCUUUGGGAACGGCCUGCGUCCGAUUAGCUAGUUGGUAGUGUAAAAGACUACCAAGGCGACGAUCGGUAGCUGGUCUGAGAGGAUGAUCAGCCAGACUGGGACUGAGACACGGCCCAGACUCCUACGGGAGGCAGCAGUAGGGAAUUUUCCACAAUGGGCGAAAGCCUGAUGGAGCAACGCCGCGUGCAGGAUGAAUGCCUUCGGGUUGUAAACUGCUUUUAUGUGUGACGAUUAUGACGGUAACACAUGAAUAAGGACCUGCUAACUACGUGCCAGCAGCCGCCGCAG